AACGAACGCUGGCGGCAUGCCUAACACAUGCAAGUCGAACGAGACCUUCGGGUCUAGUGGCGCACGGGUGCGUAACGCGUGGGAACCUGCCCUUAGGUUCGGAAUAACUCCCCGAAAGGGGUGCUAAUACCGGAUAAUGUCUUCGGACCAAAGAUUUAUUGCCUUGGGAUGGGCCCGCGUUGGAUUAGCUGGUUGGUAGGGUAAAAGCCUACCAAGGCGACGAUCCAUAGCUGGUCUGAGAGGAUGAUCAGCCACACUGGGACUGAGACACGGCCCAGACUCCUACGGGAGGCAGCAGUGGGGAAUAUUGGACAAUGGGCGAAAGCCUGAUCCAGCAAUGCCGCGUGAGUGAUGAAGGCCUUAGGGUUGUAAAGCUCUUUUACCCGGGAUGAUAAUGACAGUACCGGGAGAAUAAGCUCCGGCUAACUCCGUG
rnacentral:rRNA from 1 species